CACAUGAAUAUGCAAUAAUUUAUCCUACGUACUCAAGUCAUUGAACUAUUGGAUCUACAUACAAUCAGAAUCACUUAAGAGGAAACAGGUCUUGAAGUUUCAUUAAAACUAACUCUGGUGCAAUUGGCCAAAACUGAACUCUGUUCCAGAAAACUGAGGUUUGGGACCACUGAACUCCUCUCUGUAAUUCUAAGUGUUUAGCCCAGCUAAAGGUCUGAGACUUCAACAAAUCAGGGAUUACAGUCUACCAGAUGAGUCCCUCUUCCAAGGGAGAGCACGGAAGCUGCAGCUUGACCGUGUUUUACGGGGAGGGAGAAGCCACUUAACCCUCUGUUGGUGUUAGCAAAAUGACCAUUGAACUGGGAAUGUUUCAAAAUAA